UCACAAUUACUCUUCUUCAUAAACCGUAUAUGGUAUCAAGAGCCAUGUUUCUAUGGUGGAUGAAAUUGUAGAUGAUUUCCCUUCUGAAAAUUCAGCUUACCACCACCUCACCAACCAAACCAUUUGUUGUUCCCUUUUCUAAAAAACUCUCCAAAGCUAAUUUCUUCACAUGGUGGCACUUAGCAACAUUGACGAUCUGUGGACAACAGUUUUAGGAUCAUUUGGAAAAAGAGAAGGUUCCUCCAAGAUUUGCAUCUUCAGCAGAUGAAACAACAAACAUAGAAAUGAACACGUUUACGUAGGUAAUGUUACAGGUAUGGAUAUUAAACAUAUUGGGUAUUCUAGUUUGAAUCAUAUUCCUACUUAUAAAAAAUAUAAACUCUAUGACUUAUUACAUGUGCCUUCAAUUGCUAACAACCUCAUAAGUGUUUUUAGGUUUGCCAAAGAUAAUAAUGUAUAUUUUUCUUUUUAGCUUGAUUUUGUAUUGGUUAAAUCGCAGGUUACUAAGGAGGUUCUUCUUCGAAGGAGUGUUAAAAAUGGCAUAUACUGCUUUGAAAAAGUUGACAAUCCAAAACUCACUCCUUUUGUUCUUUCUGCUUCCGUUUUGCCAUUAAAGAGUGUCUCUUUAGAUGUGUACCAUAAGCGAUUUGGUCACCCUACUAUGUCAAUUGUACACAAUAUUGUAAGUAGAUGUUCACUUCUUUGUGUCAAUCUUAUUGUAUGGCAAAAUCUCACAAAUUACCAUAUGCUUCUCCACAAACUGUUUAUAAUGCACCUUUAGAAUUGAUUGUUUCUGAUGUAUGGGGACCAGCCCCAAUUGUGUCCUCAAAAGGAUUUUGAUACUAUGUGACUUUCAUUGAUAUUUAUUCUAGACAUACUAGUUUAUACUUGUUGCAUAAUAAAUCUCAGGUGCUGUCAGUCUUUAAACAAUAUAAACUAAGCAUGGAAAAAUAAUUAGGACAUUCAAUUAAAGCACUACAAAUGGAUAAUGGUGGUGAAUGCCUUUCGAAUUCGUUUAAACAAUUUUUGGUCAAUGAAGGCAUUGGACACCGACUUACAUGCCUACAUAGUACAUACCCCUCAGCAAAAUGGUUUUGCUGAAAGAAAACAUAGACACAUUGUUAAAACUGGUUUGAGUCUUUUAGCUACUGCUCAUCUUCCUCUACACUUUUGGGAUAAAUCUUUUUCUACUUCUAUUUAUUUGAUUAACCGAAUGCCUACAUCAAUUCUUAAUAAUUUAUCUCCUCUGAAAAAUGUGUAUAAAUGUCUUAUUAAAGAAGAUAGAAUUAUAAUAUCAAGAGAUGUAAUUUUUGAUGAAUCAUAAUUUUUUGCACCAACAUUUUAUACAUCACACAAUAAUUCUGGUAUAUAAUCUAUAUCAAAUAAUGAAAUGUCACCCAGAAUUUUUACCAUUCUCCCCUCUUCCCUUAAGCCUACACAAUCUAUUUCACUUCCCUUGGAGGCUGCUUCUGUGUUUAUUGAAGCAGGUACAAUAGUUGCUAGACUACAACCUUAACCUCAGAUCAGAACACUACACACCAUCAUAGCACAGCUAGUAUCAUUCCUCCCCUAGGUAUCCAAAUUGAACUUCAGGGUGAUUCUACUUCCUCUCUACCCACAUCACACAAAGGUAAUUCUCAUCAUAUGGUUACUAGAUCAAAAACAGGUAAGCUCACACCUAAAAUUUAUCAGGUUAGUUACUUAUCACCUAAGCUAUCUCAAUCUGAUGUUGUUCUUAAAAAUGCAAAGACUGCACUACAAUCUUUAGUUUGGAGUGAAGCUGUGUUAACUGAAUAUAAGGCUUGGUUACAUCAUAAUACAUGCAUACUAGUUGAAUUACCAAAGAAUGAAAAACUUAUGACAUGUAGAAGGGUGUUUGCUGUUAAGAAAAACUCAAAAGGGGAAGUAAUUAGGCAUAAAGCUAGGUUAGUAGUUAAAGGAUAUAUUNNNNNNNNNNNNNNNNNNNNNNNNUAACCAUUAGGAUAAUAAUUACCACUGCAUUAUCAAAGGGAUGGAGAAUUAAGCAAUAUGAUUUUCAUAAUGCUUUUCUCAAUGGACACUCCAACCACAAGGUUUGAACACUCCAAUCUUGAUGACACGUCAUCUUAAGCAGUUUUUAGGGUUUUUUUAAAAAUAAUUUUAAUCAAAUUUCUUAUAUUUUCUAGUAGAAUUUCAUAACUAAUCAAAUAUUUGAAGUUGUAUUAGUAUUAUUAUGUUUUCAGGUAUUUUUGUCUCAAAAUAAUCAAGAAAUAAGGUCUUUUUAGCAAGAAAAUACAAAACCAAUUCAAGGACGGUCCAACCAUACAAAAGGAAGAAAACCCGAUGCCCAAGCCUUCAAGCAAGGACGCCCGGCGGCUGCUCCACAAGCCCGGCGUCCUCCCAUCCCCUUACACACUUCCGGCAGAAGACUCCACAAGCCCGUCGUCCCUCCUUGCCUCCAAGCCCAAGCCUGGCGUGCAAUUGUCCCUAGAGGUGCAAUUGGGCUUACACCCAAAGUUGAAGACCUUAAGCCCAGCGUGCAACAUUCCUCAACUCCGAGGAUGCAACAAUUAAGCCCCAAGUCCAAUUAUACAAAUCAUAAGAAACCUUAAUCUCAUCCGAAGAUUCAAGAUUCAAGAAAUUAGUUAUCAUUAAUUCUUUCUAGAAAUAUAAAGAUUUGGUUGUUAGAAUUUGUUUCUAGAUUAGAUUUAAAUUACUAUUUUGAUUUGAAUUUGAAGUAGGAAGUUAGCUAUUUUAUCUUUCCAAAAGAUAAAGAUUAGGGUUAGUUUUAAAUUUGAAUUUUAGAUAGAAUUUAGGAUAUAUAUAAGUGAACCUUGAUCACAGAGAUCAAUCAUCCACCGGAGGAUCACUUUCUCAUAAUUAGGAUUAGUUUCUUUUCUAUCAUGAGUUACUAAACCUCUCCGUUGAAAGUUAG
rnacentral:lncRNA from 1 species